UACGGGGGGGGCAAGCGUUGUUCGGAAUUACUGGGCGUAAAGGGCUCGUAGGUGGCCAACUAAGUCGGACGUGAAAUCCCUCGGCCUAACCGGGGAACUGCGUCCGAUACUGGUUGGCUUGAGUUUGGGAGAGGGAUGCGGAAUUCCAGGUGUAGCGGUGAAAUGCGUAGAGAUGUGGAGGAACACCGAUGGCGAAGGCGGUUCUCUGGGCCUGUACUGACGCUGAGGAACGAAAGCGUGGGGAGCGAACAGG
rnacentral:rRNA from 1 species